rnacentral:rRNA from 1 species
CCUACGGGUGGCAGCAGUGAGGAAUAGUGGUCAAUGGACGAGAGUCUGAACCAGCCAAGUAGCGUGAAGGAUGACUGCCCUAUGGGUUGUAAACUUCUUUUAUAUGGGAAUAAAAUGUUCCACGUGGGGGAUUUUGUAUGUACCAUAUGAAUAAGGAUCGGCUAACUCCGUGCCAGCAGCCGCGGUAAUACGGAGGAUCCGAGCGUUAUCCGGAUUUAUUGGGUUUAAAGGGAGCGUAGGUGGAUUGUUAAGUCAGUUGGGCAAUUUUGCGGCUCAACCGGAAAAUUGCAGUUGAAACUGGCAGUCUUGCGUACAGUAGAGGUGGGCGGAUUUCGUGUUGUAGCCGUGCAAUGCGU